CUUAAGUUUUGGGGUUUUUUUCUGUUUGUAAACGGAGCAAAUUUGUGUGAAUUUUGGACAGAUUAAUUUAUAAGUGAGGAUUCUCCUUGUCACCUCGUGCAGCGCUGCCUUCUCGGUCAGGGGAUGUCCCACGGCUGAUCCAGGAACCUCGGGCUGAGCUCGUUUUCAGCGUCCCUGCAGGAUGGAUUUUCCUGGAACCAUGAAGGCAGAGGCAGGUCCUGGACACUGCCCACUCCUGGUGACUCACACUGGAGCAAUCCCUUUUUUCUGUUUUCAUUGGGAUAAAAAUCAUCUCCAGGAAUGGAUGGAGAAGGCUGCGUUGUUCAGCUCGUCGCUCACAGCGUGAAAUCAGGUCCUAAUGAGUGGUGAAACUCCAAACCAUGGAGCAGGAUGUAUUGAAAAGGAGAAAGAGAUGUUCUUGUGCCCAGACCUCAAAUAAGCGACAGGAGCAGCAAACCAAGAUCCUCAGGCUUUUCCAUCAACUUCCAGCCCUUCCUCUGCCUCGUGGGCUCUGCUUCUCCCCGUGUUUAACUCUUAAAAAUUUCAGCCCUGCAAAUUGAAGCCUCCCUGUUUGUUUUCUCCCUUCCCCCCAUCCCUGGGAUAUUUAGGAUAAAAUUCAGUGUAAAAUCAGAGCCCUCAGCAGCGAUUCUGUGCUGCUCACAUCAGGUUUUCCCAGUCCUGAGCCGUGCAGCUGGGCACAAUGCUCACUUUGAAAUCCCACACCACGCACGUGAUGGCUUUCAUUAAAUAUAUUAAAUAUAUUAUCUGGUGAUGAUGGUGCUGUGGAAAGAAUGCUCUCACAGGCAAACUUGCUGCAGAGGGAGGAGACCAAGGUGGUUUUUUUUUCCAUUUUCAUUGCUGGUUGUAAUCUGCAGGGGAAUGACUGAUGAAGUGGGCAGAUGUUGCUCUAGGAGAUAAAACUUGGAGUUUUGAGCCUUAUAGGUAAUCUUUGUGAAAAUGGGUGCUUGUAAGAGUGCAGAGCUAAAAACAGUUAUACAGGCGCUCUCCCAAUCAGGAAUUAAUGAAAUACGCUC
rnacentral:lncRNA from 1 species